CAGUCGCCGCGGUAAUACGUAGGGUGCGAGCGUUAAUCGGAAUUACUGGGCGUAAAGCGUGCGCAGGCGGUUAUAUAAGUCAGAUGUGAAAUCCCCGGGCUCAACCUGGGAACUGCAGUGGAUACUGGGUCACUAGAGUGUGGUAGAGGAUAGUGGAAUUUCCGGUGUAGCAGUGAAAUGCGUAGAGAUCGGAAGGAACAUCUGUGGCGAAGGCGACUAUCUGGGCCAACACUGACACUGAGGCACGAAAGCGUGGGGAGCAAACAGGAUUAGAUACCCGCGUAGUCCCUGUCUCUUAUAC
rnacentral:rRNA from 1 species